CGCUGGCGGCGUGCCUAACACAUGCAAGUCGAGCGAGGAGAUCCUUCGGGAUGAUCCUAGCGGCGGACGGGUGAGUAACACGUGGGCAACCUGCCUCAUAGAGAGGAAUAGCCUUCCGAAAGGGAGAUUAAUACCUCAUAACAUUGCAGUUUCGCAUGGAACAGCAAUUAAAGGAGCAAUCCGCUAUGAGAUGGGCCCGCGGCGCAUUAGCUAGUUGGUGAGGUAACGGCUCACCAAGGCGACGAUGCGUAGCCGACCUGAGAGGGUGAUCGGCCACAUUGGGACUGAGACACGGCCCAGACUCCUACGGGAGGCAGCAGUGGGGAAUAUUGCACAAUGGGGGAAACCCUGAUGCAAGCAACGCCGCGUGAGUGAUGACGGCCUUCGGGUUGUAAAGCUCUGUCUUCAGGGACGAUAAUGACGGUACCUGAGGAGGAAGCCACGGCUAACUACGUGCCAGCCGCAGC
rnacentral:rRNA from 1 species